UGCUAAGCCACAGGGCCAGCCCAGCACUUUUCUUUUUUGUAGGGUUCUGUAGCAUUCAAGAAUUCGGCAUUCUUUCAGUUCUCAUAUUUUCUUUUAGAGACCCUAAGAAGACACACAUCCUAACACUGGCCUUUAUAUUUUCUGAGGAGAUCAUGUUAAUAUCACUUCAAUGAUAGAUAGAUAGGAAGAAAGAGUCCACAGCAGGAUUUUCCCAGGUGCUAAUGUCUUUGUUUCUCUCCUUGCAUGUUGUCCCUGCCCAUCCUGUCUUUCUUAGCUUUACUAAGUAGGCAGUGCACAGUAAGGACCAUUUGCUUGGGGCCAAAAAUAGUAAAGGAAAUCUACAGACUUAGGGAAAGCCAGGGUACAAUCUCUCACAGAUAGUUGCAGUGCAAGAACAUCCUUGCAAGGCCUGGCGCAAACUAGCAAUGGUAUUCUGAUCAGCAGAAUCCCCAUCGCCAUUGCCCUGCAUGUGGAGAGAGGAAAGGUCCUGCUGCUCACGGCUUUGAAUGCCUAUCCGGUGUAUGAUGACCAUGUGGGGUUCAGAGACCGGUAAGGUCAGUGAUAUAGUAAGGCAUUAUCUCAAAGCUUUGGAGAGAUUUGCAAGUUUUCCUAAAGUAUAUGUAAAGUUGUAAUACCUACUUUCCAUUAAUUCCCUUAACUCUCAGACUUCCUAGAUAUUUAUAGUAAACUCAGCCUUUAUACUUCCCAGCAGGAAGCAUUAAAUCCCUGAAGAUGCUCAGGAGAAGGUCUCCUAAUCUCUCUUUUUGAGCAGGUGUUAGAUGAUUGAUGGAUCACAAGGAUGGGAAUUUCUAAGAAGAUGAUUCUCAUGCUCUGCCUUGGUGGAUGCUUCCUGGGUAAUUGGCGGUUGUGACCCACAUCUGUUGUGAACUGGCCCGAAGCCAGCAGCUUUAGUUCUCAAAAUUGGAAAUCAAAUGUGGGGUGUUAGGGGUACAGGAACCACAGGAUGAGGACAUUCUGGGUGUAUGAUGCCUCCUAAGAAAGAUGCAUCUGUUGGAAUAGGCAGCUGGUGAGAAGACUGAGUCAGCAGCAGACAUGAGCAGUUUCCCAGCACCCAGGUCCCAUCUGUCCCACACUUUCCACCUGUGUCUUAGAACAUGAGCUCAUCCAGGUUUAUUAGCCAAUCUGUAUAGUCAGGUCUGGCUACUAGGAUCAGUGAGAUGGUAUAAACAAUGUUGAACAAGGAAAUUGUGGGGGAUCAGAAUUGGCCACCCCAAUACGUGUCUUUUUGGCUUGCAUUGAUUAUUUUUAAGAACAAAAGACUCUAAAAGAAGCUUUGAACUUUCCCCUAAGUGCCUAAAAGAAUUUAAGAUAAAAGGCCUGUCCUCAGGACAGGCCAUCACCAUAGAUAACUCUGGGUAUUAGUAGACUGUGAGGGUCCUUGCUAAGCCCAUUCUUAUCUACCAAACAUUUGCUUUUCCAUUUCCAUGUGAAUUGCCUUCCUUCCCUUUGAAGUGCCAAACCACUACCCCAAACAUCCUCCUUUGUCUUUAGCUGAAGAUGAUAUAUAAGGUGACAGUUUUGGCCAUUCUGGCAAGUUACUCAGCUCUCCUGGGUUUGCCCUAUAUAUACAUGUUUUAAAGUUGUGUUUGAUUUUCUCCUGUUAUUCUGUCUCAUGUCAAUUUAAUUCUUAGGCCAACCAGAAGGUAGAGGAUUUAUCUUCCUCCCCUACAGUUUGGCAACUUGGAAAGGAUAAAACUUCACUCGUUGGAUGCUGCUUGCUCCUGGACUACUGCAGCUGAGAGAUCCUGGACUCCUGACAAGAGCCAGCAGGAGAUUAGCAGGAGAAAAUGUUGGUGAAGCUAACUUCUUGGACUCAGUGACUCUAGGAAAUUUGGUUGAGUACUCAUGGCUUAUUGAUCCUUUUCCUCCCAGAGGAAUCUGUCAUAAAGAGGAAAAAACAUAGGGCUAGACACAGGCAUCUCUAUGAGUCUGUUGUCUGGGCAGGUUACAUGGAAACAUUGGUAAUAUUGCCAAAGCUUUGACUGGAAUAUCAUAUUCGAGAGAAAAAUUCAUGGUCUCAAAUAUGACCAGACAGCUUUUGAGGAACAAAGAUUGAGCUUUAUGAGAUAAAGCCACUUGAAAAUAUUGGCCUGAUGCCUUGUUUAGAGGGUUUCCAGCAACCUU